rnacentral:rRNA from 1 species
UACGUAGGGGGCAAGCGUUGUCCGGAUUCAUUGGGCGUAAAGAGCGUGUAGGCGGCCAGGUAGGUCGGUUGUGAAAACUGGAGGCUCAACCUUCAGAGGUCGACCGAAACCAUCUGGCUAGAGUCCGGGAGAGGAGAGUGGAAUUCCUGGUGUAGCGGUGAAAUGCGCAGAUAUCAGGAGGAACACCGAUGGCGAAGGCAGUGGUCUGGGCCGAUACUGACGCUGAGGAGCGAAAGCGUGGGGAGCGAACAGG